CCUACGGGAGGCAGCAGUGAGGAAUAUUGGUCAAUGGUCGGGAGACUGAACCAGCCAAGCCGCGUGAGGGAUGAAGGUACAGAGUAUCGUAAACCUCUUUUGUCAGGGAACAAAGGCGGGGACGUGUCCCCGGAUGAGUGUACCUGAAGAAAAAGCAUCGGCUAACUCCGUGCCAGCAGCCGCGGUAAUACGGAGGAUGCGAGCGUUAUCCGGAUUUAUUGGGUUAAAAGGGUGCGCAGGCGGCCUGUUAAGUCAGCGGUAAAAGCCCGGGGCUCAACCCCGGCCCGCCGUUGAAACUGGCAGUCUCGAGUUGGAGAGAAGUAUGCGGAAUGCGCGGUGUAGCGGUGAAAUGCAUAGAUAUCGCGCAGAACUCCGAUUGCGAAGGCAGCAUGCCGGCUCCACACUGACGCUGAGGCACGAAAGCGUGGGUAUCGAACAGGAUUAGAUACCCUUGUAGUC
rnacentral:rRNA from 1 species